GGAGCAUGCUCAGAGCCGCGGUCACGCGCCCGCCCGAAGGCUCCUGUCGGGACAGGGCGCCGCCCCGUGUCGGCCCCCGCAGAGCUCGCGGCCCCCGCCUGUCCGGGCGCCGCCAUGGAGCGCAUCGAGGGGGCGUCCGUGGGCCGCUGCGCCGCCUCACCCUACCUGCGGCCGCUCACGCUGCAUUACCGCCAGAAUGGUGCCCAGAAGUCCUGGGACUUCAUGAAGACGCAUGACAGCGUGACCGUUCUCUUAUUCAACUCUUCUCGGAGGAGCCUGGUGUUGGUGAAGCAGUUCCGGCCAGCUGUGUAUGCGGGUGAGGUGGAGCGCCGCUUCCCAGGGUCCCUAGCAGCUGUAGACCAGGACGGGCCUCGGGAGCUACAGCCAGCCCUGCCCGGCUCAGCGGGGGUGACAGUUGAGCUGUGUGCCGGCCUCGUGGACCAGCCUGGGCUCUCGCUGGAGGAAGUGGCUUGCAAGGAGGCUUGGGAGGAGUGUGGCUACCACUUGGCCCCCUCUGAUCUGCGCCGGGUUGCCACAUACUGGGAUGCUACGAUGGGCUCCUGACCCCAGCUGAGGUCUUGGGGAAGGAGGAGGGUAUCACAGAGACCCCCACCCCCACCAGCUGAGCACCAGCCUCUGCAGCCUCCUCCAGAGGCCAGGGCCUGCUCCACUGGGAGAAGCACCGGAAGUCUCUGCACCUGUCAGCCUGGCACAUGGGCCACUCAGGGUUGAGCCUGGGGCCCUCCUACCUCAGCAGCCUCAAGGACUUCACCUGGGCACGUUCCUGGCUGGGUGGGUGGACUCCCAAGUUAAAGGCAGCAUUUCCACGCUGGGCCAGGCACGGUGGCUCACGCCUGUAAUCCCAGCACUUUGGGAGGCCGAGGCAGGCGGAUCACCUGAGGUCAGGAGUUCGAGACCAGCCUGACCACAUGGAGAAACCCCGCCUCUGCUAAAAGUACACAAUUAGCCAGGCGUGGUGGCAGGAGCCUGUAAUUCCAGCUACUCGGGAGGCUGAGGCAGGAGAAUCACUUGAACCCAGGAGGC
rnacentral:sRNA from 1 species